rnacentral:rRNA from 1 species
AUUGAACGCUGGCGGCAUGCCUUACACAUGCAAGUCGAACGGUAACAGGUCUUCGGAUGCUGACGAGUGGCGAACGGGUGAGUAAUACAUCGGAACGUGCCCGAUCGUGGGGGAUAACGAGGCGAAAGCUUUGCUAAUACCGCAUACGAUCUACGGAUGAAAGCGGGGGAUCUUCGGACCUCGCGCGGACGGAGCGGCCGAUGGCAGAUUAGGUAGUUGGUGGGAUAAAAGCUUACCAAGCCGACGAUCUGUAGCUGGUCUGAGAGGAUGAUCAGCCACACUGGGACUGAGACACGGCCCAGACUCCUACGGGAGGCAGCAGUGGGGAAUUUUGGACAAUGGGCGAAAGCCUGAUCCAGCCAUGCCGCGUGCAGGAUGAAGGCCUUCGGGUUGUAAACUGCUUUUGUACGGAACGAAAAGCCUCUUUCUAAUAAAGAGGGGUCAUGACGGUACCAUAAGAAUAAGCACCGGCUAACUACGU